rnacentral:rRNA from 1 species
UGGCUAGGAUGAACGCUAGCGACAGGCUAACACGAUGCAAGUCGAGGGUAACAGGUAGCAAUACCGCUGACGACCGGCGCACGGGUGAGUAACGCGUAUGCAACCUGCCUAUAACUGGGGAAUAGCUCCCUGAAAGGGGAAUUAACACCGCAUAACACUAUUGAUUCGCAUGGAUUAGUAGUUAAAUGUAGCGAUACAGGUUAUAGAUGGGCAUGCGUGACAUUAGCUAGUUGGUGAGGUAACGGCUCACCAAGGCUACGAUGUCUAGGGGUUCUGAGAGGAAGGUCCCCCCACACUGGUACUGAGACACGGACCAGACUCCUACGGGAGGCAGCAGUGAGGAAUAUUGGUCAAUGGGCGCAAGCCUGAACCAGCCAUGUCGCGUGCAGGAAGAACCUGCCCUAUGGGUUGUAAACUGCUUUUAUAGUAGAAGAAACACAUCUACGCGUAGAUGUCUGCCAGUAUACUAUGAAUAAGCAUCGGCUAACUCCGUGCCAGCCGCCGC